ACGUUUCUACGUUCACUGUAUGUAAUUGACGUUUAUUGUGUUCGCGCAACAUGGAGGGGAAACGUAUCGAUGAAUGGAAUGGUUUCUUUUCGAGUUCUUUUUUCCUUGGUUGCUUUGUGUUUUGAUAUGAAAUUGUGGAUGUGAUCUUUUUGAUGUGGGAUAUGGUUUUUCGAGAAAAUAUUUCGUUAAUAAAAAUAAUAAAGAUCGUAAACUUGCGAUGUGUUGCACGAUUGUGGUUAUGUAACUUGAUCUAAUUAAACACAUUGGUUUUGAAGAAAAUAUAACGAAAGAGGUGUAAAAUAAAUCUAAUUUGAUCGAAUAAAUUGAAACAGAGAGUAAGAGAUGUAAUAAAUACGUUAAAAAUUUAGAUAUAGAGAAAAGUGUAAAUAUUGAGAAGAUUUAGAUUUUAAGGUUAUUUUUCGUUAUUUUGUUCAUGAUUGAAGUAUUUAAGCCAUAUAAGUUGAAAGAUUUUAAAUGAAAGCGGGAAAUAUGAAUGCAGAGUUCGUAGACUCUUAACGAGAACAAAGGUAUUUAAGCUUGUUUAGUGACAAUGAGGUGCCCUAUUUACGGAUCACGCUUCGCGUAUAAAACGGCGCGGAAAUGGACGAAAGUUAUGGAUAUGGAUGUCUUAUGAUCUAUAAUAGACAUUAAAGAUACUCUAUUCUAAAAAAGGAAAAUCAUGAAAAAAAAUUGUAAAAUUAUUCAUUCAUAUCUUUACAUAAUAUAAAAUUAUCGUUAUUAAUAUUAUAUAA